GCUGUCAGAUUGGAACGAUAGUGUGCCAGUGAUGAUGACCUCGGUUAUUCCCUUGGUCGUGCGUUAGCUAUUAUCAAAAUCGUCCUACAAAAGCGUCUUAUUCGCUCGAAACGAGGUGGAGUCUGCAAGUCGUGUUGCAUUGGUGUCGAACGAAUUAUCAGCUCCAUCGAGCAAAUGUCUGUCUCUGGACAAUGGUGUUCGGAGGACGGAUCGAGCCAGUGCUUCGGCCGAUGGUGGGCGUCUCGGCCCUGGACCCCCUCCGACCAGGAUCGGCUGUGGCGAGAGCGCCGCAACGCCAACCUGCUGGGCGCCGUCCAGCGCAUGGGCGACCGGGCUGCCAUGAUGGCGGCGCACACAGACCACCUGCGAGCUGUCCAGCGACGCCACGAAGGACUCGUCUAUCACCUGCUAUACGC